CCUACGGGAGGCAGCAGUGGGGAAUAUUGCACAAUGGGGGAAACCCUGAUGCAGCGACGCCGCGUGAGUGAAGAAGUAUUUCGGUAUGUAAAGCUCUAUCAGCAGGGAAGAAAAUGACGGUACCUGAUUAAGAAGCCCCGGCUAACUACGUCCCAGCAGCCGCGGUCAUACGUAGGGGGCAAGCGUUAUACGGAUUUACUGGGUGUAAAGGGAGCGUAGACGGCAGCACAAGUCUGGAGUGAAAUGCCGGGGCUUAACCCCGGAACGGCUUUGGAAACUGUGCAUCUAGAGUGCAGGAGAGGUAAGUGGAAUUCCUAGUGUAGCGGUGAAAUGCGUAGAUAUUAGGAGGAACACCAGUGGCGAAGGCGGCUUACUGGACUGUAACUGACGUUGAGGCUCGAAAGCGUGGGGAGCAAACAGGAUUAGAUACCCUAGUAGUC
rnacentral:rRNA from 1 species